rnacentral:rRNA from 1 species
AUACGGAGGGUGCAAGCGUUACUCGGAAUCACUGGGCGUAAAGCGCAUGCAGGCGGUCUAAUAAGUUGGAAGUGAAAGCCUAUGGCUCAACCAUAGAACUGCUUCCAAAACUGUUAGACUAGAGUCUGGGAGGGGAAGAUGGAAUUAGUAGUGUAGGGGUAAAAUCCGUAGAGAUUACUAGGAAUACCAAAAGCGAAGGCGAUCUUCUGGAACAGUACUGACGCUGAGACGCGAAAGCGUGGGGAGCAAACAGGAUUAGAUACCCUAGUAGUCC